rnacentral:rRNA from 1 species
GCAGUCGACGCUUCUUUUUCCACCGGAGCUUGCUCCACCGGAAAAAGAGGAGUGGCGAACGGGUGAGUAACACGUGGGUAACCUGCCCAUCAGAAGGGGAUAACACUUGGAAACAGGUGCUAAUACCGUAUAACAAUCGAAACCGCAUGGUUUUGAUUUGAAAGGCGCUUUCGGGUGUCGCUGAUGGAUGGACCCGCGGUGCAUUAGCUAGUUGGUGAGGUAACGGCUCACCAAGGCGACGAUGCAUAGCCGACCUGAGAGGGUGAUCGGCCACAUUGGGACUGAGACACGGCCCAAACUCCUACGGGAGGCAGCAGUAGGGAAUCUUCGGCAAUGGACGAAAGUCUGACCGAGCAACGCCGCGUGAGUGAAGAAGGUUUUCGGAUCGUAAAACUCUGUUGUUAGAGAAGAACAAGGAUGAGAGUAACUGUUCAUCCCUUGACGGUAUCUAACCAGAAAGCCACGGCUAACUACGUGCCAGCAGCCGCGGUAAUACGUAGGUGGCAAGCGUUGUCCGGAUUUAUUGGGCGUAAAGCGAGCGCAGGCGGUUUCUUAAGUCUGAUGUGAAAGCCCCCGGCUCAACCGGGGAGGGUCAUUGGAAACUGGGAGACUUGAGUGCAGAAGAGGAGAGUGGAAUUCCAUGUGUAGCGGUGAAAUGCGUAGAUAUAUGGAGGAACACCAGUGGCGAAGGCGGCUCUCUGGUCUGUAACUGACGCUGAGGCUCGAAAGCGUGGGGAGCAAACAGGAUUAGAUACCCUGGUAGUCCACGCCGUAAACGAUGAGUGCUAAGUGUUGGAGGGUUUCCGCCCUUCAGUGCUGCAGCUAACGCAUUAAGCACUCCGCCUGGGGAGUACGACCGCAAGGUUGAAACUCAAAGGAAUUGACGGGGGCCCGCACAAGCGGUGGAGCAUGUGGUUUAAUUCGAAGCAACGCGAAGAACCUUACCAGGUCUUGACAUCCUUUGACCACUCUAGAGAUAGAGCUUCCCCUUCGGGGGCAAAGUGACAGGUGGUGCAUGGUUGUCGUCAGCUCGUGUCGUGAGAUGUUGGGUUAAGUCCCGCAACGAGCGCAACCCUUAUUGUUAGUUGCCAUCAUUUAGUUGGGCACUCUAGCAAGACUGCCGGUGACAAACCGGAGGAAGGUGGGGAUGACGUCAAAUCAUCAUGCCCCUUAUGACCUGGGCUACACACGUGCUACAAUGGGAAGUACAACGAGUCGCAAAGUCGCGAGGCUAAGCUAAUCUCUUAAAGCUUCUCUCAGUUCGGAUUGUAGGCUGCAACUCGCCUA